UACGUAGGUGGCAAGCGUUGUCCGGAAUUAUUGGGCGUAAAGCGCACGUAGGCGGCUCGUUAAGUCGGAUGUGAAAGCCCUCGGCUCAACCGAGGAAGUGCAUACGAAACUGGCGAGCUUGAAUAUGGAAGAGGGUCGCGGAAUUCCCGGUGUAGAGGUGAAAUUCGUAGAUAUCUGGAGGAACACCGGUGGCGAAGGCGGCAUCCUGGACCAAUAUUGACGCUGAGGAGCGAAAGCCAGGGGAGCAAACGGG
rnacentral:rRNA from 1 species